rnacentral:rRNA from 1 species
GGUUCGCCUCCAUGUUUAGAUCUAUACCCGAACUCUUACUGAACUCGAGUGUCCUUAUCUAGACAGCCAUACAUACUAGUUUUUGCUGGGAACCAUGGCUUAUUAAAAAUUUAGAUUUUUUAAGUUGCACU